AUUGAACGCUGGCGGAAUGCUUUACACAUGCAAGUCGAACGGCAGCACGGACUUCGGUCUGGUGGCGAGUGGCGAACGGGUGAGUAAUGUAUCGGAACGUGCCCAGUCGUGGGGGAUAACGUAGUGAAAAUUACGCUAAUACCACAUACGAUCUAUGGAUGAAAGCGGGGGAUCGCAAGGCCUCGCGCGAUUGGAGCGGCCGAUAUCAGAUUAGGUAGUUGGUGGGGUAAAGGCCCACCAAGCCAACGAUCUGUAGCUGGUCUGAGAGGACGACCAGCCACACUGGAACUGAGACACGGUCCAGACUCCUACGGGAGGCAGCAGUGGGGAAUUUUGGACAAUGGGCGAAAGCCUGAUCCAGCCAUUCCGCGUGCAGGAUGAAGGCCCUCGGGUUGUAAACUGCUUUUGUACAGAACGAAAAGGUUUCUACUAAUACUAGGAGCUCAUGACGGUACUGUAAGAAUAAGCACCGGCUAACUACGUGCCAGCCGCCGCAGUAA
rnacentral:rRNA from 1 species